rnacentral:sRNA from 1 species
UGCAAGGGUGUACUCGAUUCUAUACGAU